rnacentral:rRNA from 1 species
GACGUAGGGCGCGAGCGUUGUCCGGACUUAUUGGGCGUAAAGAGCGCGUAGGCGGAAGGUGAAGCGUGGCCUGAAAGCCCCCGGCUCAACCGGGGAGGGCGGCUGCGAACUGGCCUUCUUGAGGGCGAUAGAGGGGGGCGGAAUUCCUGGUGUAGCGGUGAAAUGCGUAGAGAUCAGGAGGAACACCCGUGGCGAAGGCGGCCCCCUGGGUCGGCCCUGACGCUGAGGCGCGAAAGCGUGGGGAGCGAACGGG